rnacentral:lncRNA from 1 species
UACUCUCACUCGUUUCCCACCCGGUUACAUUGCUAUAACUUAUGGAUAAGUGUCAUGACGUUUGCACACAAGCUUACCAUUUUAUGUAAGAAUUGCAAAACUGACGUCAGGUGGGUACGGUUACGAAAAACCGUAACCGGUUAUAGCUACCCGUUAUGGAAAGCCGUAACCGGAUACGGCUACCCAUUACGGCCACCCGUAACCGUGCCCGUAUUCAUACCGGUACCCACACCUGUAAUGUUUCCAAAAGUUCCCGUUACCCAUUGCGCAACCAGCCCGUCAUCCUUCCCAUAGGGUAGCUAGGGGUUUUCCCACCUCGUUAAGUUCUUAUCCUAAUCCCGACGUUCCCGGGGCGCCUCGACGGUGGACCAACAACUGAAAGAAAAUAAAAUGGGCAAUUGUAUUGACCAAAGUGCAGGUCAAUAUAUACAACCGGUCAUGCAUCUGCUCGGGUGCAAAAAAAUCGAUCCUCCGGUUUUGGAACAUUUUUGCAAAAUUGCAGUGAGAUUUCGGCAACCAGGGGAGACAAAGACGUGAAACCGACUGCAAAGGUAGUGCGUUGUGCCGUCCGCAUAUCACCAAGCGAGGUGAACCGGUUCAUCGUGGCCACUAUCCAUACCCGAACUGAGGGCUGCACGCAGUGCUGUGGUAACGCUCAACAAGUUAACAGUUAUAACAUUCAUCCAUCCUGUAGAGUGAAAUAGAUGUGCCUUAGUUUCUCCCAUGUACAGGUAUUUUUAGACAAUGCUAUUUCCAAAUUUGCGAGCGAAAACACAUAGAUCCACGUAUUUCUCGCUAUGCUCAUUUUUUAAAGGCCACUGGCUCCAUCCACUUUUAUUUUGGCACGACACGCGUGAUGUGAAUGAUAUGUGUAUACACGCCCUCCCACACAGUACAUAUAACCAAACAUACAGCUCUACACAGCUCUAAAUACAGCUUUGUCACGAGCAGUGGCUCUGCGCGCCGACUCAGCCGUCUGCUCGCGCAGGGGAGCCGGACACGACCGCUGAGCCGGCGCCGCCGCCGUCGCCGCCGCGGGUCACCAUCUCGCCGAGGUACCUGCAGCUGCGCGCCGGCGAGCCGGCCCAGCUCGAGUGCCAGGCCGAGGGCAGCCCGCCACCGGCACUACACUGGACCGGCGGCCGCAACGACAUCAUCGAGCCUGACGUGUCACUCAUCGACGGCUUGCUGGUGAUCAGCAGCGUGCAGAAGGCGCACGAGGCCGAGUACACGUGCACAGCCACCAACGCCGCCGGCUCAGACUCGGUGCGCACCAUCAUCUACGUGAGCGCGGCCGAGCCGACGGCGCCGCCGCCGACGGUCGGCCCGGCCGCGCCCCAGCGGCUGGUGGUGCCGGCCGGCGGCACACUCCAGCUCGACUGCAGCUCGGCCCAGGCGGACGUUGUCGCGCUCUGGAGCCGCUUGGAGGGCCAGCAGCUGUCCCAGGGGGCAUCACAGCUGAACGGACAGUUGACCAUCGUGGAUAUGCAGCCUGCUGACGAAGGCGUGUACAUCUGCACGAUGACAGAUCCACAAGACCCUGGAUA